rnacentral:rRNA from 1 species
GACGAACGCUGGCGGCGUGCUUAACACAUGCAAGUCGAACGAAAAGGCGCUGCUUUUGUGGGGUGCUCGAGUGGCGAAGGGGGGAGUAACACGUGAGUAACCUCCCCUUGUAUUUGGGAUAACUUCAGGAAACUGGGGCUCAUACCGGAUAUGAGAUCCUGCUGCAUAGGGGGGGAUGGAAAGUUUCGGCGGUGUGGGAUGGAAUCGCGGGUUACCAGCUUGUUUGUGGGGUAGUGGCUUACCAGGGCUUUGAAGGGUAGCCGGCCUGAGAGCGUGACCGGCGACAUUGGGCCUGAGAGACGGCGCAGAAUGCUAUGUUACGCAGUAGUGGGGAACAUUGCACAAUGACCGGAAGCCAGAUGAAGAAACGCUGCGUUCGGGAUGAUGGCUUUCUGGUUGUAAACCGCUUUCGAAUGAGAUGAAGACGGAGUGACGGUACUGAGUAAGGAAGCACCGGCUAACUACGUG